rnacentral:rRNA from 1 species
GGGCCCGCACAAGCGGUGGAGCAUGUGGUUUAAUUCGUUACUAACCGAAGAACCUUACCCAGGCUUGACAUCCCCGGACAGCCCAUGAAAGUGGGUCUUCUCUCCCACAAGGAGAGACUGGGUGACAGGUGUUGCAUGGCUGUCGUCAGCUCGUGUCGUGAGAUGUUGGGUUAAGUCCCGCAACGAGCGCAACCCUCAUCGCAUGUUGCCAGCGUAAAGUCGGGCACUCUUGCGAAACUGCCCGUGUAAGCGGGAGGAAGGUGGGGAUGACGUCAAGUCGGCAUGGCCCUUACGCCUGGGGCUACACACAUGCUACAAUGGCCGGUAACAAAGGGCAGCAAGACCGCGAGGUGGAGCUAAUCCCAAAAACCCGGCCCCAGUUCGGAUUGCAGUCUGCAACUCGACUGCAUGAAGGCGGAAUCGCUAGUAACCGCAGAUCAGCUAUGCUGCGGUGAAUACGUUCCCGGGCCUU